rnacentral:rRNA from 1 species
CGGACGGGUGAGUAACGCGUAGGUAUCUAUCCAAGGGUGGGGGAUAACGGCGGGAAACUGCUGCUAAUACCGCAUGACGACUGAGGUCCAAAGGCCGCAAGGUCGCCUAUGGAGGAGCCUGCGUUCGAUUAGCUUGUUGGUGGGGUAACGGCCUACCAAGGCGACGAUCGAUAGCUGGUCUGAGAGGAUGAUCAGCCACACUGGGACUGAGACACGGCCCAG